rnacentral:snRNA from 1 species
AUCUGCCGACAUUUUCUAUGUUUCUAUGUUAUCAGUUUAAUAUCUGAUAAGCCCCCUAUGUGGGGGCCAUAUAUUAAAUGGAUUUUUAGAACAGGGAGAUGGAAGAAGAGCUUGCUUUGUCCACUCCAUGCAUUGACCUGGUAUUGCAGUACCUCCCGGACUGGUGCAUCAAGA